rnacentral:rRNA from 1 species
AGUGAACGCUGGCGGUAGGCCUAACACAUGCAAGUCGAACGGCAGCACAGUAAGAGCUUGCUCUUACGGGUGGCGAGUGGCGGACGAGUGAGGAAUACAUCGGAAUCUACUUUUUCGUGGGGGAUAACGUAGGGAAACUUACGCUAAUACCGCAUACGACCUACGGGUGAAAGCAGGGGAUCUUCGGACCUUGCGCGAUUGAAUGAGCCGAUGUCGGAUUAGCUAGUUGGCGGGGUAAAGGCCCACCAAGGCGACGAUCCGUAGCUGGUCUGAGAGGAUGAUCAGCCACACUGGAACUGAGACACGGUCCAGACUCCUACGGGAGGCAGCUGUGGGGAAUAUUGGACAAUGGGCGCAAGCCUGAUCCAGCCAUACCGCGUGGGUGAAGAAGGCCUUCGGGUUGUAAAGCCCUUUUGUUGGGAAAGAAAAGCAGCAGGUUAAUACCCCGCUGUUCUGACGGUACCCAAAGAAUAAGCACCGGCUAACUUCGUG